GACGUAGGUGGCGAACGUUAUCCGGAAUUAUUGGGCGUAAAGGGCGCGUAGGCGGUUCGCUAAGUUGAAUGUGAAAACUCUGGGCUUAACCCAGAGCCUGCAUUCAAUACUGGCGGGCUAGAGUUCUGGAGGGGAUAGCGGAAUUCCUGGUGUAGCGGUGAAAUGCGUAGAUAUCAGGAGGAACACCGGUGGCGAAGGCGGCUAUCUGGACAGAGUCUGACGCUGAGGCGCGAAAGCUAGGGGAGCAAACAGG
rnacentral:rRNA from 1 species